AUAGACGACUAAUAUAGCCAAUCUUAAAUAGUAGUUUGGAAUUGAGGCAUAGUUGGUUGAUUGGGCGACAACAUACUGGAAUGUCAUGGACAAGAAUGUCGUGGUCCAUCAGAAAGUAAAGUGAAAGCAAUGGUUGUGCUUUUGAAUGAAAGGCUUCCAAAACACCUGAUAAAAUGAAGAAUAUAUAACUUGUGGGCUCAAUCCUUACCUCUAAUUUCAUUUGCUAAGAAUUUGUUCAAGUCUCUUG
rnacentral:misc_RNA from 1 species